rnacentral:tRNA from 1 species
CCCUGGUUACCUCAGUUGGUAGAGCGCUCCACUGGAAAUGGAGAGGUCUCGGGUUCGAUACCCGGAUGAGGCG